CUAUUUUUCCCCAAACGAAGUAACAGGAUCCAUUCUCUUCAUUUUUCGCCAACAACGUUGAGACAAUUCAUGUCAUUGAGUUGCUCAGCCUCUCCGGUCUCCAUAGACUGGAAGAUGAUGGCCUGGCUUUUGAUCAUCUUUGUGUCUGCUUUUCAAGAUGUGAAUUGCUUCUGUACUCAGCGCCCGAC